rnacentral:rRNA from 1 species
CCUACGGGCGGCAGCAGUGAGGAAUAUUGGUCAAUGGACGAGAGUCUGAACCAGCCAAGCCGCGUGAAGGACGAAGGUGCCAAGCAUUGUAAACUUCUUUUGUCAAGGGACAAAAUCAGGCUCGAGAGCCUGACCGAGGGUACUUGAAGAAAAAGCAUCGGCUAACUCCGGGCCAGCAGCCGCGGUAAUCCGGAGGAUGCGAGCGUUAUCCGGAUUUAUUGGGUUUAAGGGGUGCGUAGGCGGACUGUUAAGUCAGCGGUAAAAGCCCGGGGCUAAACCCCGGCGAGCCGUUGAAACUGGGUGUCUUGAGAUGUCGAGAGGUAUGCGGAAUGCGCAGUGUAGCGGUGAAAUGCUUAGAUAUUGCGCAGAACUCCGAUUGCGAAGGCAGCAUACCGGCGGCGAUCUGACGCUGAGGCACGAAAGCGUGGGUAUCGAACAGGAUUAGAUACCCCAGUAGUC